GAUGAACGCUGGCGGCGUGCCUAAUACAUGCAAGUCGAGCGAACAGACGAGGAGCUUGCUCCUCUGACGUUAGCGGCGGACGGGUGAGUAACACGUGGAUAACCUACCUAUAAGACUGGGAUAAAUUCGGGAAACCGGAGCGAAUACCGGAUAAUAUAUUGAACCGCAUGGUUCAAUAGUGAAAGACGGUUUUGCUGUCACUUAUAGAUGGAUCCGCGCCGCAUUAGCUAGUUGGUAAGGUAACGGCUUACCAAGGCAACGAUGCGUAGCCGACCUGAGAGGGUGAUCGCCCACACUGGAACUGAGACACGGUCCAGACUCCUACGGGAGGCAGCAGUAGGGAAUCUUCCGCAAUGGGCGAAAGCCUGACGGAGCAACGCCGCGUGAGUGAUGAAGGUCUUCGGAUCGUAAAACUCUGUUAUUAGGGAAGAACAAAUGUGUAAGUAAAUAUGCACGUCUUGACGGUACCUAAUCAGAAAGCCACGGCUAACUACGUG
rnacentral:rRNA from 1 species